GGCCCUAUAUAUAUUUCUAAAGACCCCUCAACAAUGGUGCGGUGAACGUGGACGAAUUACUUGGGUCUUCAGAUUGGAUUUGAGCUUGGGCUUGAGUUGUGGUAGAGGAGUUAUUCGGUGGCUGAGAUAGAACCUGUGGCUGAGGCUAUGUCGAGGUUUGUUCGCCCAUGUCAAAUUGAUUAAAAUCUGAGAUGUAAUUUAGAAAUCUUUAGAGAAUGAAAGCGGCGUUGGUGUUGACGUUGGCGAUGGACGGCGGGGUUAAGGGGAGGAGUAGUGGAAAGAAAAUAGAUGAGCUAAUGGAGUUCAGUUGUCGAACAAGUAUUUUCUCGCUAGAAGGUUUUGGCCUAUCAACAUUUACUUCAGUCCACAAUCGGAUAUUAUUAAAGGAAAAAGAUUUUGGAUACUUUGAACGUGCCGAUCGAAUCAACAAGAGUUCACACCUACCAUCUUUUGACUCGGUCGAUUUUGAAGUUUGAAAUUGUGGUUACUUGUGGCAUGUAUAUAGAAUGUUUAUUUUGCAAAUGUUGAACCUGUUUUGGUCAUUUAGUUGUAAGUGCACUUGUAUGCAAAUUUGAUGUAUGUAUUAGAUAUUUGGCAUUUUGGUAAUGUGUUGUUAAAAGUCAUGUUUGAAUGGUAUUUUGAAUGAUUAUGUGCUAACAA